GUGUGAUCCUCUGCCACGGCAGCUGUGGGAGGUUUUCCUUCUCAGUGAAGAGCAGAUGGACUACAGGAGAUUACUCGACCUUGAUGGAAAUCAGCUGCACCUUCCAGUUGAGGGGCAACUCCUGCCUGCCAAAGUCUGCAUGAAUCCCUCUUAGAGGCUUUACCACACAUCAGCUCACUCAGCUUCAGAAUGACCAACAGAGGUCCAGGAUUACAGGACCAGGAGCAAUGCCAUGGGACACCGGAGAGGGAAGAAAAGCAGCUGUUACUGGAUUUGUGCCUGAAAGCAGCAGCACUAUACAAAAGGGAGAGCUUUCACAAUGUAGUCAGUACGCUCCUUUCGUUGUUUUCUGUUAACACCGACUUAAAUAACAUCCUUCUUGAUUUUUAUCAACAUGUCAAGAGUAAAGGGUGUUCAAGUGUUAUUCCAAAACUGAGGUCACUUUUCCAGUCACCUCCCUCAGUCUGGUCCAUAAACCUCUCAGAGAGAAAGACCUCCAUCCUCCUGGAAGUGCUGAAACUCCAAUCAGAGAAGAAACAAGUGAAGCUGACAGGCUGCUCACAUGAAGAGAGUGAAGUGAGGAGUUUCCUACAGUGUCUGCCUUAUAUCUCACAGCUCAGUUUCGUGCCUCAGUCAUCAGAACCUUCAGAGGAAACCAAGUUCUUUGGGAAUCUGUUGUGUGCAGCAGCAGAGAGAGAACAGCAGACAGGAGAGAAGAUACUGGAGCU
rnacentral:lncRNA from 15 species